UUAAGGUAAUAAAAUAUAUUCUCUCAUGUUUUUGUACUAAUAAAUACAACAGAAUAAAAAAAUAUCACAAGACAUCUUUUGUGUAUUAUCUUAUGUUACAGAUCAUCCCACAGCAUUACGAAUUCAUUUUGGGCGUGGUUAAUCAGGCACAUCACUGGAUGCUGGUGGUAAUCUUACCAGCCAAAAAGAUGAGCCUGUUUCUGGACCCACUUGGGGAAAAAAAAAUGCGGCCAAUCAGUGCAAGGAUGUCACAAGAUCAUUCAUGAGACAAAGGGGGUUAAAUCCUUCAAGGUGGGCGUGUGAAACAAGGACCCACUCCAUUCAGAAAGAUGCCACGUCUUGUGGGGCUUUUGCAUUGAAGUUUGCUGAAUGCAUCUUGGAUGGGUUGCCUCUGGUGUUUGACACUUCACCAUCCAGUGUCAACAAUAUAAGAGAGGAAAUAGCGAUCUA